rnacentral:rRNA from 1 species
GGGAGUGCCACAGCGAAGGCGUUAAGUCAACUGCCUGGGGAGUAAGGUCGCAAGGCCGAAACUUAAUGGAAUUGGCGGGGGCGCACUACAAGGGGUGGAUGCUGCGGUUUAAUUGGAUUCAACGCCAGACAUCUCACCAGAACCGACAGCAGAAUGAUGGACAGUCUGAAGGGCUUUCCUGACACGCUGAGAGGUGUUGCAUGGCCAUCGUCAGCUCGUACUAUGAAGCGUCCUGUUAACUCAGGCAACGAGCGAGACCCAUGCCCUUAGUUGCUAUUCGUCUUCUCAGGCGGAGCACUCUAGGGGGACUGCUCGCGCAAGCGGGAGGAAGGAGUGGUCAACGGUAGGUCUGUAUGGCCCGAAUGUUCUGGGCAACACGCGGCAUACAAUGAAUAGGACAAUGAGUUUCGAACCCGAAAGGGCAAGGUAAUCCCUUAACCUUAUUCUUAGUUCGGAUUGAGGGUUGUAACUCACCCUCAUGAAGCUGGAAUCCCCAGUAAUCGCGUGUCAUUAUCGCGCGGUGAAUAAGUCCCUGCGCCUCGCACACACUGCCCAUCAAGCCAGCUGAGUGGAGUUUGGAUGAGCUUUUCUCAUCUGAGGAUAUCAAUUCUAAGUUCCGCGAGGCGGGCUAAGUCGUAACAAGGUAGCC